GAGGGUAUAGCUCAGUGGCAGAGUGUGUGCUUAGCAUGCACGAGGUCCUGGGUUCAAUCCCCAGUACCUCCA
rnacentral:tRNA from 1 species